CACCAAUUUAUUAUCUUUUUAAAAAAAAAUUAUUUUAUUUUAUUAUAUUUUAAAAACAAAUGCAAUUACCAUAUCUGUACCGGUACUAAGACACCUGUAUCCGACUAGUUUCAAACUAAAGUUGAUGUAUACUAGUGUGUCAUUUCUGAGUAGAAUAAAAUAUACACGUCAAAAAAGAUGGGGGGACAAAAAUUUAAAACAAGGGUUACGCUCCAGUGGUAAACAAUCACAAAAAUGGAACUUUCUUUAUUUAACGGUAUUUCCACAGAUAAUUUCCCGCAUACAAUUGCUCCGUCCCAAUUCUCAGCACUACACAAGGUUCAUUUUCUUGCGCAUAGAACAUAUCUCUCUAGAGCAUGGCUCAUUAGAGGACAACAGACACCC